CGGAGUUCCGCCAUUUAUUCGAGUGCAGCAUUCAAAGCGGGGCCACAACAUCGAAGCUGAUUCUAUAGAGCAAAAGUUCCUGAGUGCAUCUUCGAGAACCAGUGCAAACUUGGACUUUUAUUUGGACUCCAAGAUCCCAGUCCCCUUUGGCCAGGUCCUUCACGCAGCGCCACUCAACACCAAUUAGCCUUCUUUUCUUCCAACACACGUGUCUUCUGAAAGAAAGUAGGUGAUGUGAGGAAGGCAACCGAGCGGAUCAUCGCAUUGUUUUCACAAACAUUUUCAUCUCCCUUUGUGGAGCUCCAUCACCCGAGGGACACAUGAAGAAGGCAGGGGCCCGUAAAAUGGCUGGGGGACCACCAGCACCUCCACUCACUCCGGCUGAGGAGCUGCCACUGUCCUUUAAUCAAGGGGGUCAGGGCAGUUCAUCAGAGUCAACUACCUCGCAUGAA
ensembl:lncRNA